rnacentral:rRNA from 1 species
UACGUAGGUGGCAAGCGUUGUCCGGAAUUAUUGGGCGUAAAGCGCGCGCAGGCGGUCCUUUAAGUCUGAUGUGAAAGCCCACGGCUCAACCGUGGAGGGUCAUUGGAAACUGGGGGACUUGAGUGCCGAGGAGGAAAGUGGAAUUCCACGUGUAGCGGUGAAAUGCGUAGAGAUGUGGAGGAACACCAGUGGCGAAGGCGACUUUCUGGUCUGUAACUGACGCUGAGGCGCGAAAGCGUGGGGAGCAAACAGG